GUCUAUGGCUAUGCCACCCUGAACAAGCCCAAUCCCGUCUGAUCUCGGAAACUAAGCAGGGUCUGGCCUGGUUAGUACUUGAUGGGAGACCAUCUAGGAAGACCAGGUGCUUUAGGCA
rnacentral:rRNA from 1 species